AUUGAACGCUGGCGGCAUGCCUUACACAUGCAAGUCGAACGGUAACAGGUCUUCGGAUGCUGACGAGUGGCGAACGGGUGAGUAAUACAUCGGAACGUGCCUAGUAGUGGGGGAUAACUACUCGAAAGAGUGGCUAAUACCGCAUGAGAUCUACGGAUGAAAGCAGGGGAUCGCAAGACCUUGUGCUACUAGAGCGGCCGAUGGCAGAUUAGGUAGUUGGUGGGAUAAAAGCUUACCAAGCCGAGGAUCUGUAGCUGGUCUGAGAGGACGAUCAGCCCAACUGGGACGGAGACACGGCCCAGACUCCUACGGGAGGCAGCAGUGGGGAAUUUUGGACAAUGGGCGCAAGCCUGAUCCAGCAAUGCCGCGUGCAGGAUGAAGGCCUUCGGGUUGUAAACUGCUUUUGUACGGAACGAAAAGCCCUGGGUUAAUACCCUGGGGUCAUGACGGUACCGUAAGAAUAAGCACCGGCUAACUACGUGCCAGCAGCCGCGGUAAAAC
rnacentral:rRNA from 1 species